CCCUCUCCCCUCUCUCCCCCUCUCUCCCCCUCUCCCUCCCUCUCUCUCCCUCUCUGCCUCUCUCUCUCUCUCUCUCUCCCUGUCUCGGUUUUGGAACUCUCUAUGUGCUCAGCUGUUCUAGAACUGGACCUCCUAUUGGGAGGCUCCUGAGUUCUGGCCUCACAGGCUGGAAACAGUGUCCAGCAGACCCUGAUGGAGGGUUUCCAAGAAGCUGUCUACAUUGUUUAUCAUCACCACCAUUACCGUCCUCACCAUCACCACCAUCCUUAGGAGUGAUCUCCUCCAACUCACAUGUGAACUAGGGAUACUCCAGUCCAGUCCUUUCCCGUUAGUCUGAAGUGUGGGAGUGACAUCUUACAUGAGAGAAUACUGUGGGGCAAAAGGUAAGACUGUUAUUCCUCAGCAGUGACCUCCUAGGGGUCUCUGUGCUUAACCAGCAUCGCCUUGGAGAACUUCUUUUUCUAGUGUUUAUUUGAGUGUAUCUUCAGAAAUAAUAAACACUUGCAACUCAAUGCCUGCUGCUCUGGG
rnacentral:lncRNA from 1 species